rnacentral:rRNA from 1 species
UGCAGUCGAACGGAAAGGCCCUUCGGGGUACUCGAGUGGCGAACGGGUGAGUAACACGUGGGUGAUCUGCCCUGCACUUUGGGAUAAGCCUGGGAAACUGGGUCUAAUACCGAAUACACCUUGCUGGUCGCAUGAUCUGGUGGGGGAAAGCUUUUGCGGUGUGGGAUGGGCCCGCGGCCUAUCAGCUUGUUGGUGAGGUUAUGGCUUACCAAGGCGACGACGGGUAGCCGGCCUGAGAGGGUGACCGGCCACACUGGGACUGAGAUACGGCCCAGACUCCUACGGGAGGCAGCAGUGGGGAAUAUUGCACAAUGGGCGCAAGCCUGAUGCAGCGACGCCGCGUGAGGGAUGACGGCCUUCGGGUUGUAAACCUCUUUCAGCAGGGACGAAGCGCAAGUGACGGUACCUGUAGAAGAAGGACCGGCCAACUACGUGCCAGCAGCCGCGGUAAUACGUAGGGUCCGAGCGUUGUCCGGAAUUACUGGGCGUAAAGAGCUCGUAGGUGGUUUGUCGCGUUGUUCGUGAAAACUCACAGCUCAACUGUGGGCGUGCGGGCGAUACGGGCAGACUGGAGUACUGCAGGGGAGACUGGAAUUCCUGGUGUAGCGGUGGAAUGCGCAGAUAUCAGGAGGAACACCGGUGGCGAAGGCGGGUCUCUGGGCAGUAACUGACGCUGAGGAGCGAAAGCGUGGGGAGCGAACAGGAUUAGAUACCCUGGUAGUCCACGCCGUAAACGGUGGGUACUAGGUGUGGGUUUCCUUCCUUGGGAUCCGUGCCGUAGCUAACGCAUUAAGUACCCCGCCUGGGGAGUACGGCCGCAAGGCUAAAACUCAAAGAAAUUGACGGGGGCCCGCACAAGCGGCGGANCAUGUGGAUUAAUUCGAUGCAACGCGAAGAACCUUACCUGGGUUUGACAUGCACAGGACNCUGGUAGAGAUAUCAGUUCCCUUGUGGCCUGUGUGCAGGUGGUGCAUGGCUGUCGUCAGCUCGUGUCGUG